AUACUUUAAGUGUGAAGGAAGUAUUUUCAACUCUAAUUUUGGCUCUUCCGUUUUCUUCGUCGCAUCCAAGUCUUCCUUUAUUUCUUCUUGAUAAGUAAGCUCACCACAAGAUUCUAACUCAUGCAACAUUGCUUCAAUCUCUUUUUCCUCAUUGUCGGUCAACACAUUGUAUGCUCCGAUAAGGGAUCUUUCUAGAGGAUUAGAAAUAUGAACUUGGUUCGCG
rnacentral:lncRNA from 1 species